rnacentral:snRNA from 2 species
GUCUCUUUGGCAGAACAUUUAUUAAAAUUGGAACAAUACAGAAAUUAGCAUGCCCUUACACAAAUAUGACACCCAAAUUUGUGAAGCAUUCCAUAUUUUU